AUGGAGAGAAUGACAUCCUCCUACUUCAAGGAGAUCUUUACUAAGGACCCAACCCUUUCACCGGAUGGGGUUCUUGAUUGUAUACAGCCUAAAGUUUCAGUGGAGAUGAAUGAAUCACUGUGUAGACCUUACACCGAGGAGGAAAUCUCGGAUGCUUUGUUCCAGAUCGGGCCCCUCAAAGCCCCGGGCUGCAAUGGCCUCCCGGCCAGGUUUUACCAGCGCAACUGGGGUUUAGUCAAAACGGAGAUUAUUGCUGCAGUUCAACAGUUCUUCUUAUCUGGUGUGAUGCCUGAUGGUGUGAACGACACAACUAUAGUGCUUAUUCCUAAAGUUCCCCACCCGCAGGAACUGAAAGAUUUCCGCCCUAUUAGCCUGUGUAAUGUGCUUUAUAAGGUGGUCUCCAAGUGUUUGGUGAACAGACUCCGGCCUCUUCUGACAGAACUUAUAUCUGAAAACCAGAGUGCUUUCAUCCCAGGACGUUUGAUCUCUGAUAAUUUGAUGAUUGCCUUCGAAUGCAUCAAUCAUAUACAAUCUGUACGGCACUCGGGCCCCGGGCUGUGUGCGUACAAACUAGACCUGUCGAAGGCCUACGAUCGUGUGGACUGGGAUUUCUUGGAGCGGGCUUUGGCAAAAUGGGGUUUCUCUCCUGUGUGGAUCUCCCGUGUCAUGGCGUGUGUUUCAUCUGUGAAGUAUGCGGUGAAGUUUAAUGGGAAGCUGUUGGAUUCUUUUUCUCCCUCAAGAGGACUCCGUCAAGGUGACCCGUUAUCUCCCUUCCUCUUCUUGUUUGUUGCUGAUGCUCUAUCCUCCUUGAUUCAUAAGGCGACGCAACAAGAUGGCCUUGAAGGGAUAAGAAUAUGCAGGGGGGCACCGGAAAUUUCCCACCUUCUGUUUGCAGAUGAUUCCCUACUGUUCUUCCAGGCAACAGAACAGCAGGCACUAUUAGUGAAAGGUUUGUUGAACACGUUUGCGACGGCGACUGGUCAGCUGAUAAACCCGUCCAAAUGUUCCAUCCUCUUCUCAAACCAGUGCCAACAAGUUGUUGCUACGCAAGUUAAAAAUAUUCUGGAAGUUACCCAGGAAGCUUUUGAGCCCAAAUAUUUGGGGUUGCCGAUACCUGAAGGCAGGAUGCACAAGGGAAAGUUUGUGUCAUUACAGGAACGGCUAAGGAAAGUUCUUGUCGACUGGAGUGAGCAAUACAUGUCUUCUGGCAACAAAGAGGUUCUGAUCAAGGCGGUAGCUCAGGCCAUUCCGACCUAUCUUAUGAGUAUUUUCAAAAUCCCCUACUCAGUGUGUGAUGACCUGACUCGUAUGAUUCGCCAAUACUGGUGGGGGUGGAGAACGACAAAAGGAAAAUGGCUUGGAUGA
rnacentral:rRNA from 1 species